rfam:Lupinus angustifolius cultivar Tanjil contig_4178, whole genome shotgun sequence.
UGGUGCGACCACACCAGCACUAAUGCAUCGGAUCCCAUCAGAACUCCGUAGUCAAGCGUGCUUGGGCAAGAGUAGUACUAGGAUGGGUAACCUCCUGGGAAGUCCUCGUGUUGCACCUC